rnacentral:rRNA from 1 species
GACGAACGCUGGCGGCGUGCUUAACACAUGCAAGUCGAGCGGUAAGGCCCUUUCGGGGGUACACGAGCGGCGAACGGGUGAGUAACACGUGGGUGACCUGCCCUUAGCUCUGGGAUAAGCCUGGGAAACUGGGUCUAAUACCGGAUAUGACUCCAUGACGCAUGUUGUGGGGUGGAAAGCCUUGUGCGGCUAGGGAUGGGCCCGCGGCCUAUCAGCUUGUUGGUGGGUGAUGGCCUACCAAGGCGAAGACGCUUAGCUGGUCUGAGAGGAUGAUCAGCCACACUGAAACUGAGACACGGUUCAGACUCCUACGGGAGGCAGCAGUGGGGAAUAUUGGACAAUGGGCGCAAGCCUGAUCCAGCCACGCCGCGUGAGUGAUGAAGG